rnacentral:rRNA from 1 species
CAAUCAAACCGGGAGAUAGCUGGUUCUCCCCGAAAGCUAUUUAGGUAGCGCCUCGUGAAUUCAUCUCCGGGGGUAGAGCACUGUUUCGGCUAGGGGGCCAUCCCGGCUUACCAACCCGAUGCAAACUGCGAAUACCGGAGAAUGUUAUCACGGGAGACACACGGCGGGUGCUAACGUCCGUCGUGAAGAGGGAAACAACCCAGACCGCCAGCUAAGGUCCCAAAGUCAUGGUUAAGUGGGAAACGAUGUGGGAAGGCCCAGACAGCCAGGAUGUUGGCUUAGAAGCAGCCAUCAUUUAAAGAAAGCGUAAUAGCUCACUGGUCGAGUCGGCCUGCGCGGAAGAUGUAACGGGGCUAAACCAUGCACCGAAGCUGCGGCAGCGAACGUAUCACCCAAGACAACUUUACGGAGUUGACGAUUGACGGAGCGAAGCGACGUCAAAGCGUUCAUUAAAGUCGAGUUGGCUUAGGGAUACGUUCGUUGGGUAGGGGAGCGUUCUGUAAGCCUGUGAAGGUGUGUCGUGAGGCAUGCUGGAGGUAUCAGAAGUGCGAAUGCUGACAUAAGUAACGAUAAAGCGGGUGAAAAGCCCGCUCGCCGGAAGACCAAGGGUUCCUGUCCAACGUUAAUCGGGGCAGGGUGAGUCGACCCCUAAGGCGAGGCCGAAAGGCGUAGUCGAUGGGAAACGGGUUAAUAUUCCCGUACUUGGUGUUACUGCGAAGGGGGGACGGAGAAGGCUAUGUUGGCCGGGCGACGGUUGUCCCGGUUUAAGCGUGUAGGUGUGUGUUCCAGGUAAAUCCGGUUCACUUUAACACUGAGGCGUGACGACGAGGCACUACGGUGCUGAAGCAACAAAUGCCCUGCUUCCAGGAAAAGCCUCUAAGCAUCAGGUAACAUCAAAUCGUACCCCAAACCGACACAGGUGGUCAGGUAGAGAAUACCAAGGCGCUUGAGAGAACUCGGGUGAAGGAACUAGGCAAAAUGGUGCCGUAACUUCGGGAGAAGGCACGCUGACACGUAGGUGAAGUGAUUUACUCAUGGAGCUGAAGUCAGUCGAAGAUACCAGCUGGCUGCAACUGUUUAUUAAAAACACAGCACUGUGCAAACACGAAAGUGGACGUAUACGGUGUGACGCCUGCCCGGUGCCGGAAGGUUAAUUGAUGGGGUCAGCGCAAGCGAAGCUCCUGAUCGAAGCCCCGGUAAACGGCGGCCGUAACUAUAACGGUCCUAAGGUAGCGAAAUUCCUUGUCGGGUAAGUUCCGACCUGCACGAAUGGCGUAAUGAUGGCCAGGCUGUCUCCACCCGAGACUCAGUGAAAUUGAACUCGCUGUGAAGAUGCAGUGUACCCGCGGCAAGACGGAAAGACCCCGUGAACCUUUACUAUAGCUUGACACUGAACAUUGAGCCUUGAUGUGUAGGAUAGGUGGGAGGCUUUGAAGUGUGGACGCCAGUCUGCAUGGAGCCGACCUUGAAAUACCACCCUUUAAUGUUUGAUGUUCUAACGUGGACCCGUAAUCCGGGUUGCGGACAGUGUCUGGUGGGUAGUUUGACUGGGGCGGUCUCCUCCUAAAGAGUAACGGAGGAGCACGAAGGUUGGCUAAUCCUGGUCGGACAUCAGGAGGUUAGUGCAAUGGCAUAAGCCAGCUUGACUGCGAGCGUGACGGCGCGAGCAGGUGCGAAAGCAGGUCAUAGUGAUCCGGUGGUUCUGAAUGGAAGGGCCAUCGCUCAACGGAUAAAAGGUACUCCGGGGAUAACAGGCUGAUACCGCCCAAGAGUUCAUAUCGACGGCGGUGUUUGGCACCUCGAUGUCGGCUCAUCACAUCCUGGGGCUGAAGUAGGUCCCAAGGGUAUGGCUGUUCGCCAUUUAAAGUGGUACGCGAGCUGGGUUUAGAACGUCGUGAGACAGUUCGGUCCCUAUCUGCCGUGGGCGCUGGAGAACUGAGGGGGGCUGCUCCUAGUACGAGAGGACCGGAGUGGACGCAUCACUGGUGUUCGGGUUGUCAUGCCAAUGGCACUGCCCGGUAGCUAAAUGCGGAAGAGAUAAGUGCUGAAAGCAUCUAAGCACGAAACUUGCCCCGAGAUGAGUUCUCCCUGAGACUUAGAGUCUCCUGAAGGAACGUUGAAGACGACGACGUUGAUA